UUGACCUAAAAUGUAAGACGUUGACGAACACAAGAAGAAGUGAAGGGUAUUAAGUGUAAUUCAUCAUUAAGAUGGAUGAUGCCAUUUUGAAGGUAAAACAAUCAUAGGAUGAAUCUAGCCGACCUAGGUAUAUUUUAUUUUUUUGGUUUUUUAUACAUAUAGAAUGGUUAUUGAACCAAACCCAAUUUAGUACAAAAUUUU
rnacentral:lncRNA from 1 species